UCCCCCAGUAGUGGCGAAUGAAGCGGGAAAAGCUCAAGUUUGAAAUCUGGUAGGUAAAACUGUCCAGAGUUGUAAGCUGGAGAGGCGAUGUCCGACGCGGUCCAGGCUCAAUUUCCUUGGAACAGGAGGUCAUGGAGGGUGAGAACCCCGUACAUGGCUUGGGUACCGCCGUCCUUGUGACGCGUCCUCUAAGAGUCGGGUUGUUUGGGAAUGCAGCUCAAAAUGGGUGGUAAAUUUCAUCUAAAGCUAAAUAUUGGCGAGAGACCGAUAGCAAACAAGUAGAGUGAUCGAAAGAUGAAAAGUACUUUGAAAAGAGAGUGAAACAGUACGUGAAAUUGUUGAAAGGGAAGCGUUUGGCAUCAGCCCAUGGCGGUGGUCGAACAUCUGGGCUUCUGCCUAGUGCACUCGGCCGCCGUUGGGCCAGCGUCGGCUCUGCCUGCCGGAGAAAGGCCUUGGGGAAGUGGCUCUCUUCGGGGAGCGUUAUAACCCUUGGUGUCAUGCGGCUGGGCGGGGCCGAGGUCCGCGGUUUAUUCCUAGGACGCUGGCGUAAUGGUUCCAAGCGACCCGUCUUGAAACACGGACCAAGGAGUCUAACAUCUAUGCGAGUGUUUGGGUGUCAAGCCCGACCGCGCAAUGAAAGUGAAUGCAGGCGGGAGCCUCUAGGGGUGCACCGCCGACCGGUCCGGGGGUUUACCG
rnacentral:rRNA from 1 species